GUGCUUGCACCCCGCUGACGAGCGGCGGACGGGUGAGUAAUGCAUAGGAAUCUGCCCGAUAGUGGGGGAUAACCUGGGGAAACCCAGGCUAAUACCGCAUACGUCCUACGGGAGAAAGGGGGCUCCGGCUCCCGCUAUCGGAUGAGCCUAUGUCGGAUUAGCUGGUUGGUGAGGUAAAGGCUCACCAAGGCGACGAUCCGUAGCUGGUCUGAGAGGAUGAUCAGCCACAUCGGGACUGAGACACGGCCCGAACUCCUACGGGAGGCAGCAGUGGGGAAUAUUGGACAAUGGGGGGAACCCUGAUCCAGCCAUGCCGCGUGUGUGAAGAAGGCCCUCGGGUUGUAAAGCACUUUCAGUGAGGAAGAACGCCUGGUGGUUAAUACCCAUCAGGAAAGACAUCACUCACAGAAGAAGCACCGGCUAACUCCGUGCCAGCAGCCGCGGUAAUACGGAGGGUGCGAGCGUUAAUCGGAAUUACUGGGCGUAAAGCGCGCGUAGGUGGCUUGAUAAGCCGGUUGUGAAAGCCCCGGGCUCAACCUGGGAACGGCAUCCGGAACUGUCAAGCUAGAGUGCAGGAGAGGAAGGUAGAAUUCCCGGUGUAGCGGUGAAAUGCGUAGAGAUCGGGAGGAAUACCAGUGGCGAAGGCGGCCUUCUGGACUGACACUGACACUGAGGUGCGAAAGCGUGGGUAGCANACAGGAUUAGAUACCCUGGUAGUCCACGCCGUANACGAUGUCGACCAGCCGUUGGGUGCCUAGCGCACUUUGUGGCGAAGUUAACGCGAUAAGUCGACCGC
rnacentral:rRNA from 1 species